rfam:Otolemur garnettii contig043404, whole genome shotgun sequence.
GUACUGGUGGCUCAGGGAGUAGGGUGCUGGCCUCACAUGCCAGGGGUGGUGGGUUCAAGCCCUGCCCCGGCCA